rnacentral:rRNA from 1 species
UACGAAGGGGGCUAGCGUUGCUCGGAAUUACUGGGCGUAAAGGGCGCGUAGGCGGCACUGUUAGUCAGGCGUGAAAGUCCUGGGCUCAACCUGGGAACUGCGCUUGAUACGGCAGAGCUAGAGGAUGGAAGAGGCUCGCGGAAUUCCCAGUGUAGAGGUGAAAUUCGUAGAUAUGGGGAGGAACACCGGUGGCGAAGGCGGCCAUCUGGACGGUAACUGACGCUGAGACGCGAAAGCGUGGGGAGCAAACAGG